CAGUGGUUGAUGUGCCAUUUGGGGGUGCUAAAGCUGGUGUUAAGAUCAAUCCCAAGAACUAUACUGAUAAUGAAUUGGAAAAGAUCACAAGGAGGUUCACCAUGGAGCUAGCAAAGAAGGGCUUUAUUGUGUGGCCACAUAGAUUUUGGUAUAAAGUGGGAACAUCUAAAAAAAUCUUUUUUUUUUUUUUUUGAGACAGAGUCUUGCUCUGUCGCCAAGAUUGGAGUGUAGUGGUGCGAUCUCCUCCACCUCCCGGGUUCAAGCAAUUCUCUUGUCUAAGCCUCCCGAGUAGCUGAGACUAUAGGCAUGUGCCACCAUGCCCAGCUAAUUUUCGUAUUUUUAUAGAGAUGGGGUUUUGCCAUGUUGAUCAGGCUGGUCUUGAACUCUUGACCUCAGGUGAUCCACCCAUCUCAGAAUCCCAAAGUGCUGGGAUUACAGGCGUGAGCCACUAUGCCCGGCCUCCUACUAUUUGUAAUAGGAGAUAGGGUCAGAUAAGGGAAUAAAAGCAGGCUGCCCCAGCCAGGGGCAGCAACCAGCUCAGGUCCCCUUCCACACUGUGGAGGCUUUGUUUUUUUGCGCUUUGCAAUAAAUCUUGCUGCUGCUCACUCUUUGGGUCCGCACU
rnacentral:lncRNA from 1 species